rnacentral:rRNA from 1 species
CAAAACGACUCUCGGCAACGGAUAUCUCGGCUCUCGCAUCGAGGAAGAACGUAGCGAAAUGCGAUACUUGGUGUGAAUAGCAGAAUCCCGUGAACCAUCGAGUCUUUGAACGCAAGUUGCGCCCGAAGCCUUCGGGCCGAGGGCACGUCUGCNUGGGCGUCAC